rnacentral:lncRNA from 1 species
UUCAUUCCAAAUCAAUCAUCCACAAACGUUGUUCUUAAGCAUCCAAGACAGGUUUCAUAGCUCAAUUCCUACAUCUCAUCCAAGAAUCCCAAGGAAAUUAGCUCAACAUGAUUCUAGAAGAAAGCAUUUGGAAAGAAGACCUAACCAUCUUAUUACAGAAAAUAAUCGGCUUUAUCUUCCUCCAAUCGAUGCUCUUGAUCUCCUAGCUUCGCUUUUGGCUUCAAUCCUUCAAAGGCAGCUCCUUUAGAUCUUCAAUUUGGGCUCUAGAUGAGGUUGGGAGCUGGUUUUUGCAGAGAAAACUCGGGAGAAAUUGGGGAAAAUCGAGCUGGGAAAAGUCUUCUUUCUCUUUCCUCCACCUUCCCUUUUUAUAGUUGCAGCUGGAUCUGGCAAGGUGCACG